GUACUUAUGUGGCAGAGGAGAUACCAUGAUCCUGGAAAUGGUCCUCCCAGAGCAAGUCUUGUCCUUUGCACUUUGGUUUUGUUGAUCUCUGUGAUUUCUUCAAAUGCGUUAAAGUACGCUGUAGUAACUUGUGGUAGUGGGGGGCAGCUACAGUUUGUAACAUGGUGGUAAAGACUUCUU
rnacentral:snRNA from 1 species